ACGGUUACCUUGUUACGACUUCACCCCAAUUAUCGAACCCACCUUCGGCCGCGCCCUCCUUGCGGUUAGGCUACGGACUUCGGGUGUUCCCGACUCUCAUGGUGUGACGGGCGGUGUGUACAAGGCCCGGGAACGUAUUCACCGCGGCAUGCUGAUCCGCGAUUACUAGCGAUUCCGACUUCAUGCAGUCGAGUUGCAGACUGCAAUCUGAACUGGGACGGCUUUUAGGGGUUCGCUCCACUUCGCAGUAUUGCAUCCCUCUGUUUACCGCCAUUGUAUUACGUGUGUAGCCCAGGACAUAAGGGGCAUGAUGAUUUGACGUCGUCCCCACCUUCCUCCGUUUUGUCAACGGCAGUCUCGCUAGAGUGCUCUUGCGUAGCAACUAACAAUAAGGGUUGCGCUCGUUGCGGGACUUAACCCAACAUCUCACGACACGAGCUGACGACAACCAUGCACCACCUGUCUCUGCUUUCCCCGAAGGGCACCUGACGUAUCUCUACCUCGUUAGCAGGAUGUCAAGCCCUGGUAAGGUUCUUCGCGUUGCAUCAAAUUAAACCACAUAAUCCACCGCUUGUGCGGGCCCCCGUCAAUUCCUUUGAGUUUCAACCUUGCGAUCGUACUCCCCAGGUGGGAUACUUAUUGUGUUAACUGCGGCACG
rnacentral:rRNA from 1 species